UGGCUGUAUUGAUCCAAUGUCUAUACCCCCAUUGUAUCUAGGAAGUAACUAAUUUGCUUUUAAUUUUACAGGCUCAUAGGCAGAAGGGACUUGCCUUGUCUCAAAUAAGACUUUGGACUCUGGACUUUUGAGUUAAUGCUGAAAUGAGUUAAGACUUUGGGGGACUGUUGGAAAGGUGUUAUUGGUUUUGAAAUAUGAGGACAUGAGAUUUGGGAGGAACCAGAGGAGAAAUGACUUGGUUUGGCUCUGUGUCCCCACACAAAUCUCAUCUUGUAGAUCCCAUAAUUCCCAUGUGUUGUGAGUGGGACCUGGUGGGAGCUGAUUGAGUCAUGGGGGUGGGUCUUCCCCAUGCUGUUCUCGUGAUAGUAAAUGGGUCUCAUGAGAUCAGAUAGUUUUAAAAAUGGGAGUUUCUCUGCGCAAGCUUUUUCUUUGCCUGACGCCAUCCACGUAAGAUGCGACUUGCUCCUCCUUUCCUUCUGCCAUGAUUGUGAGGCCUACUCAGCCAUGCAGAACUGCCAUGUGAGGCAGUGGGAUUGUACUCAAUGGGUUUGGACUCAAAUGAAGACAGCAUCUUACCUGCUUUCAUGCCUCCCUAUAAAGAGUGAUUUUACUCACACUGAGACCAGGUAAAGGUAAACAAAGGAAAGAACAAGCAUUCAAAGGACAGAGCCUACAGGAGGAAUAUCCUGAUGCUUCUGCUGCUUGGCUCUCCUAGCACAUCCCAGUGUGCCUUUUAAAAGUGAAGUCCAAAAAUGAGAGAAAGACAGAGAGAGAGAGAGAGAGAGAGAGAGAUUACACAAGAACAAGGAAGAGGAGAAUAACUACUUUGCAGUGAAGAGCACACCCUACAAAACCAAAAUGACUCCCAUAGGAAGAAGAAGCAAAGAGAAAAUCACAUGGUCAUUUGCA
rnacentral:lncRNA from 1 species